rnacentral:rRNA from 1 species
AACUUGAGAGUUUGAUCAUGGCUCAGAACGUACGCUGGCGGCACGCCUAACACAUGCAAGUCGAACGAAGUAGCAAUACUUAGUGGCAGACGGGUGAGUAACAUGUAGGUAUCUGCCCUUUGGCCUGGAAUAACACGAGGAAACUUGUGCUAAUACCGGAUAAGUCUUUACGGAGAAAGCUUUAUGCACCAUUGGAUGAGCCUGCACUUGAUUAGUUUGUUGGUGGGGUAAUGGCCUACCAAGACUGUGAUCAAUAGCUGAUUUGAGAGGAUGAUCAGCCACAUUGGGACUGAGACACGGCCCAAACUCCUACGGGAGGCAGCAGUGGGGAAUCUUGCACAAUGGAGGAAACUCUGAUGCAGCGAUGCCGCGUGAGUGAAGAAGGCCCUUGGGUUGUAAAGCUCUUUCGUCGGGGAAGAAAAUGACUGUACCCGAAUAAGAAGGUCCGGCUAACUUCGUGCCAGCAGCCGCGGUAAUACGAAGGGACCUAGCGUAGUUCGGAAUUACUGGGCUUAAAGAGUUCGUAGGUGGUUGAAAAAGUUAGUGGUGAAAUCCCAGAGCUUAACUCUGGAACUGCCAUUAAAACUUUUCAGCUAGAGUAUGAUAGAGGAAAGCAGAAUUUCUAGUGUAGAGGUGAAAUUCGUAGAUAUUAGAAAGAAUACCAAUUGCGAAGGCAGCUUUCUGGAUCAUUACUGACACUGAGGAACGAAAGCAUGGGUAGCGAAGAGGAUUAGAUACCCUCGUAGUCCAUGCCGUAAACGAUGUGUGUUAGACGUUGGAAAUUUAUUUUCAGUGUCGCAGGGAAACCGAUAAACACACCGCCUGGGGAGUACGACCGCAAGGUUAAAACUCAAAUGAAUUGACGGGGACCCGCACAAGUAGUGGAGCAUGUGGUUUAAUUCGAAGAUACGCGCAGAACCUUACCAACACUUGACAUGUUCGUCGCGACUCUAAGAGAUUAGAGUUUUCGGUUCGGCCGGACGAAACACAGGUGCUGCAUGGCUGUCGUCAGCUCGUGUCGUGAGAUGUUGGGUUAAGUCCCGCAACGAGCGCAACCCUCACUUUUAGUUGCCAUCAUUAAGUUGGGCACUCUGAAAGAACUGCCAGUGAUAAGCUGGAGGAAGGUGGGGAUGACGUCAAGUCCUCAUGGCCCUUACGUGUUGGGCUACACACGUGCUACAAUGGUAUCUACAACAGGAAGCAAGACUGCGAAGUUAAGCAAAUCCCUAAAAGAUACCUCAGUUCGGAUUGCACUCUGCAACUCGAGUGCAUGAAGCUGGAAUUACUAGUAAUCGUGGAUCAGCGUGCCACGGUGAAUGCGUUCCCGGGUCUUGUACACACCGCCCGUCACACCAUGGGAGUUGGUUCUACCUUAAGGCAAGGUUUCAAACCCUUGACCACGGUAUAGUCAGCGACUGGGGUGAAGUCGUAACAAGGUAGCCGUAGGGGAACCUGCGGCUGGAUUACCUCCUUUCUAA